rnacentral:rRNA from 1 species
GGAGUCGAGAAUGAAUGGGUUUUCGGGGGUUAACUGUCUCUUUUGGAUUUAGUUGAAAUUUCUAAAAAGGUGCAAAAUCCUUUAAUUCGAAAAAAGACGAGAAGACCCUUAGAGUUUUUAUUAUAAAAAGAUUAAUUCUUUAUCGGUUUUUGCUGGGGCGGCAAAGAGACAAUAAACUCUCUUUUUACAGUUUUUAGAAGACGUGAAUCUAAAGAGACAAUAAACUACCUUAGGGAUAACAGCAUAAUUAAAUUUUAGUUUGUGACCUCGAUGUUGGACUAGGAAAAAUUUUUGGUUAGCCGCCAA